CAUGGCUCAGAUUGAACGCUGGCGGCAUGCCUUACACAUGCAAGUCGAACGGCAGCGCGGACUUCGGUCUGGCGGCGAGUGGCGAACGGGUGAGUAACAUAUCGGAACGUGCCCUGGAGUGGGGGAUAACUAGUCGAAAGACUAGCUAAUACCGCAUACGAUCUACGGAUGAAAGUGGGGGACCGCAAGGCCUCAUGCUCGUGGAGCGGCCGAUAUCUGAUUAGCUAGUUGGUGGGGUAAAGGCCUACCAAGGCAUCGAUCAGUAGCUGGUCUGAGAGGACGACCAGCCACACUGGGACUGAGACACGGCCCAGACUCCUACGGGAGGCAGCAGUGGGGAAUUUUGGACAAUGGGGGCAACCCUGAUCCAGCAAUGCCGCGUGAGUGAAGAAGGCCUUCGGGUUGUAAAGCUCUUUUGUCAGGGAAGAAACGGCGGAGGCUAAUAUCUUCUGCUAAUGACGGUACCUGAAGAAUAAGCACCGGCUAACUACGUGCCAGCAGCCGCGGUAAUACGUAGGGUGCAAGCGUUAAUCGGAAUUACUGGGCGUAAAGCGUGCGCAGGCGGGUUGUGCAAGACAGAUGUGAAAUCCCCGGGCUCAACCUGGGAAUUGCAUUUGUGACUGCACGGCUAGAGUGUGUCAGAGGGGGGGUAGAAUUCCACGUGUAGCAGUGAAAUGCGUAGAGAUGUGGAGGGAAUACCCGAUGGGCGAAGGCAGCCCCCCUGGGNUAACACUGACGCUCAUGCACGAAGCGUGGGGGGAGCCAAACAGGAUUAGAUACCCUGGNUAGUCCACCGCCCCUUAAACGAAUGUCCAACUAGGUGUCGGGU
rnacentral:rRNA from 1 species